GACGAACGCUGGCGGCGUGCCUAAUACAUGCAAGUUGAGCGAUGAAGCUUGGUGCUUGCACCAAUUUGAAGAGCAGCGAACGGGUGAGUAACGCGUGGGGAAUCUGCCUUUGAGCGGGGGACGACAUUUGGAAACGAAUGCUAAUACCGCAUAACAACUUUAAACAUAAGUUUUAAGUUUGAAAGAUGCAAUUGCAUCACUCAAAGAUGAUCCCGCGUUGUAUUAGCUAGUUGGUGAGGUAAAGGCUCACCAAGGCGAUGAUACAUAGCCGACCUGAGAGGGUGAUCGGCCACAUUGGGACUGAGACACGGCCCAAACUCCUACGGGAGGCAGCAGUAGGGAAUCUUCGGCAAUGGACGAAAGUCUGACCGAGCAACGCCGCGUGAGUGAAGAAGGUUUUCGGAUCGUAAAACUCUGUUGGUAGAGAAGAACGUUGGUGAGAGUGGAAAGCUCAUCAAGUGACGGUAACUACCCAGAAAGGGACGGCUAACUACGUG
rnacentral:rRNA from 1 species